rnacentral:rRNA from 1 species
AUUGAGCGCUGGCGGCAGGCCUAACACAUGCAAGUCGAACGGUAGCACAGAGAGCUUGCUCUCGGGUGACGAGUGGCGGACGGGUGAGUAAUGUCUGGGAAACUGCCUGAUGGAGGGGGAUAACUACUGGAAACGGUAGCUAAUACCGCAUAACGUCACAAGACCAAAGAGGGGGACCUUCGGGCCUCUUGCCGUCAGAUGUGCCCAGAUGGGAUUAGCUUGUAGGCGGGGUAAAGGCCCACCAAGGCGACGAUCCGUAACUGGUCUGAGAGGAUGAUCAGUCACACCGGAACUGAGACACGGUCUGGACUCCUACGGGAGGCAGCAGUGGGGAAUAUUGGACAAUGGGGGCAACCCUGAUCCAGCCAUGCCGCGUGUGUGAAGAAGGCCUUCGGGUUGUAAAGCACUUUAGGUCGGGAGGAAGGUUCGCUGGCUAAUAUCCAGCGGAAUUGACGUUACCGACAGAAUAAGCACCGGCUAACUCCGUGCCAGCCGCCGCGGUAA